rnacentral:rRNA from 2 species
UAGGGUCAAGCGAACAAGUGCAUGUGGUGGAUGCCUUGGCGAUCACAGGCGAUGAAGGACGCGGUAGCCUGCGAAAAGCUACGGGGAGCUGGCAAACAAGCUUUGAUCCGUAGAUGUCCGAAUGGGGAAACCCACUCCUUUUGGAGUAUCCAUGGCUGAAUACAUAGGCCAUGUGAAGCGAACGCGGUGAACUGAAACAUCUAAGUAACCGCAGGAAAAGAAAUCAACCGAGAUUCCCAAAGUAGUGGCGAGCGAAAUGGGAUGAGCCUUGCACUCUUUAUUUGUAUUGUUAGCCGAACGCUCUGGAAAGUGCGGCCAUAGCAGGUGAUAGCCCUGUAGGCGAAAACAGUAUGAAAGAACUAGGUGUGCGACAAGUAGGGCGGGACACGUGAAAUCCUGUCUGAAGAUGGGGGGACCAUCCUCCAAGGCUAAAUACUCGUGAUCGACCGAUAGUGAACCAGUACCGUGAGGGAAAGGCGAAAAGAACCCCGGGAGGGGAGUGAAAUAGAUCCUGAAACCGCAUGCAUACAAACAGUCGGAGCCUCGUAAGGGGUGACGGCGUACCUUUUGUAUAAUGGGUCAGCGACUUACGUUCAGUAGCAAGCUUAACCGUAUAGGGCAGGCGUAGCGAAAGCGAGUCCGAAUAGGGCGUUCAGUUGCUGGGCGUAGACCCGAAACCAGGUGAUCUAUCCAUGGCCAGGAUGAAGGUGCGGUAACACGUACUGGAGGUCCGAACCCACUAACGUUGAAAAGUUAGGGGAUGAGCUGUGGAUAGGGGUGAAAGGCUAAACAAACCUGGAAAUAGCUGGUUCUCUCCGAAAACUAUUUAGGUAGUGCCUCGUGUCUCACCUUCGGGGGUAGAGCACUGUCAUGGUUGGGGGGUCUAUUGCAGAUUACCCCGCCAUAGCAAACUCCGAAUACCGAAGAGUGCAAUCACGGGAGACAGACAUCGGGUGCUAACGUCCGGUGUCAAGAGGGAAACAACCCAGACCGCCAGCUAAGGUCCCCAAAUAUAGCUAAGUGGGAAACGAAGUGGGAAGGCUAAAACAGUCAGGAGGUUGGCUUAGAAGCAGCCACCCUUUAAAGAAAGCGUAAUAGCUCACUGAUCGAGUCGUCCUGCGCGGAAGAUGUAACGGGGCUAAGCUAUAUACCGAAGCUGCGGAUGCGUGCUU